GACGUAGGAUGCGAGCGUUGUCCGGAUUUAUUGGGCGUAAAGAGUUCGUAGGUGGUUUGUUAAGUCUGAUGUUAAAGACUGGGGCUCAACCUCGGAAGUGCAUUGGAUACUGGCAGACUCGAGUGCAGUAGAGGCAAGCGGAAUUCCAGGUGUAGCGGUGAAAUGCGUAGAUAUCUGGAAGAACACCGGUGGCGCAAGCGGCUUGCUGGGCUGUAACUGACACUGAGGAACGAAAGCUAGGGUAGCGAAUGGG
rnacentral:rRNA from 1 species